rnacentral:rRNA from 1 species
UACGGGGGGUGCGAGCGUUAAUCGGAAUUACUGGGCGUAAAGCGCACGCAGGCGGUCGUUUGAGUGAGCUGUGAAAACCCCGGGCUUAACCCGGGAAUUGCAUCUGAUACUGGUCAGCUAGAGUGUUGUAGAGGGGGGUAGAAUUCCAUGUGUAGCGGUGAAAUGCGUAGAGAUGUGGAGGAAUACCGGUGGCGAAGGCAGCCCCCUGGGCAAAGACUGACGCUCAGGUGCGAAAGCGUGGGGAGCAAACAGG